UAACCCGUCUCUACUGUAUUUAUCAUUAAAAAGAAAAUGAAAAAGAAAAAAAAUAGAUUGAGACGUUUCUUAUUUGGAGUCAAAGAAAAAACGUAUACGGGACACGUGUGAGCAAAUUGAGAGGAGAGAGGGGGAGCAUGGUUUCGUGCUCUGGUUCUGUUCUCUCUCUUUCUCCCUCACGAAGAACGGUGAUUUCCUCUGGUGCUUCCACCGUUGCUCAACUUUCUUCUAAGAAGCCGGAGACUUCCGACGGAGUUAUGUCUCCUGCCUGCUUUCAUCCACGCCGCCGGAGAUUUCCUCUGACUGCCUUCACCCGCUCUGCCGCUUCUUCCGUACCGAGACUCUCUUCACGAUCAGAAUGAAACCCAUCUCCACAAGAAAUCUCAAUAAAGCUCAACAACAAUGCAAAGCAGCUUCAAGACCGUUCCUUUCAACCCUGACUUCUACUCCCAAGCUUCUUUCUUCUUCAGUUACACACAUCUCCUUUCUAUCUUCUAUUAUUCAAAGCUUUGACAAGUACAAGAAAAUAACAAAAGAACCAAUCUUUUUGUACGUUUGAAACAGAGGAGAUAGUUGUCCUGAGGUUAGGAUGAUCAAUGCUUGUCUUAAAAAUGUGCUUGUUCUCUUGUUCUGAUUAUGUUCAAGUUCUUGUGCUUUGUCUUGUUCUGUUUCAGUAAUGAGAAUGAUAUGCUUCAUGUU